rnacentral:rRNA from 1 species
UACGUAGGGUGCGAGCGUUGCCCGGCUUUAUUGGGCGUAAAGGGCGCGUAGGCGGCCACGCACGUCCGUUGUGAAAUCGCCCGGCUCAACUGGGCGGGGUCGGCGGAUACGGCGUGGCUGGAGCAAGCUAGGGGGCAAUGGAAUUCCCGGUGUAGUGGUGGAAUGCGUAGAUAUCGGGAGGAACACCAGUGGCGAAGGCGGUUGCCUGGAGCUUUGCUGACGCUGAGGCGCGAAAGCGUGGGGAGCGAUCCGG